ensembl:lncRNA
CACGCUGAAGCCGAGCACAGAAGGUAUAGUUGAUGACAAGACAGAUGGCAGGGAAGAGACGGGAGGUGACUAGUGAUACACAAAGGGAGGGAGCAGAGGGCCCAGUCGGGCCCUCAGUGUGGCCAGCCUGGGGCUGAUUAGUUGAACCCUUUUUUGAUGCAUUAUAAUCACUUGCUGUGAAACACCCUUUGAAGUUAAAUGUCACUGACAGACACUUCUGCCUUCUUGUAACAAAGUGAGAGGAGCAGCCAAGUAGUGCUCAGUGUUAGAACUGUAGGACCCUAGGAUGCAGAGCUGAGGGACCAUCCGGCUCAGCCCCCUUGUACAGAGACGGAUACUGUGGCACAAAGAAACGUGAAGGAGCUGAAGUGACUUGUCCAAGGCCAUGUAAUUUGAAUUUCUCUUGCAGAAGUAAUGCCUGUAUCUUGUUGCUGUCUUUGGGGCUCUUCCCAAGGAAGCUAACCUUACUCGGAGCCUUUUCCAUUUACUCUUCAUCCCUGUGGGGUACCAUAACUGGGGGGACAGGAGAGAAGCAGAAGUGGUGGCUGCAGAGGUAUGCCCACUGUAUACAGGGUGUGCCAGCUCAAGGAGGUCCAUCCCAAGGGGUAUCUUGGUGUGGUUCUUAGCCUUGGGGUUGAACUGUUUGGUCUUUCUCCCUUUCCUCUCCCUCCUGUCACAACUGUCCUGCUCCACCUUCAAGCAGCUGUUCAGUUAAUUUACUGGAUACAAUCCAUCAUCAUCAUCAUAGCAUUAAUUAGGGGCUUCCCAGGUAGCUCUGUGGUAAAGAAUCUACCUGCCAAUGCAGGAGACCCGGGUUCGAUCCCUGGGUCGGGAAGAACCCCUGGAGAAAGAAAUGGCAACCCACUCCAGUAUUCUUGCCUGGAGAAUCCCAUGGACAGAGGAGCCUGGCUGGCUAUAGUCCAUAGAGUCUCAAAGAGUCGGACACAACAUAGCAACUGAGCACACACACGGCACUUACUAUAUGUCACAUACUAAAUCCCUUCAGUCCUCACAACACCCAUAAAAUAGAUGCUAUUCUUAUCCCUGUUUUACAGAUGAGGAAGCUGAGGCAAAAAGAGGGUAUGUAACUCGCCCAAUUUCAGACAGCUUACAAACGAGAGCCAUGAGUUGGAACCAGGAAGUUUGGCUUCAGAGCAGUGGUUUCACCAGUGUGUGCUUCUGCCUUACCUUGGCUGGAAGAACAGGGAGUGGCUGCAUGGUACCCUCAGGCUUCAUUUUCCUCAUCUGUAAAAUGGCAAAUUGCACUUGAUAAUCUUCCAAGAUACCUUCAAGCUUCAACCAGCGUGAAUGUGUUGGCAGAUAUCAAACAGCUUAGGAAAAUGGAGACAAGAACCGCUUUGGAGAGCUGUGCUGAAUGCUUUACAGACAUUAUUUCAUUUAAGCUUCAUAACCCCACGAGGUAUUGUAGUAUUCUCUACUCUCCAAAUAAGAAAACUGAAGCUUACAGAGCUUAAAACGCUUGCCAAAGGAUUCACAGCUAGUGAGUGGUGACCUUAGGCUGAAGUAUACUCUCAACCACAUGCCAUAACCUGAGUUCCUCUCUGGGAAUACAGUGUGCGUGCAUGCUAAGUUGCUUCAGUCGUGUCCGACUCUGUGACCCUGUGGGCUACAGCCUGCCAGGCUCCUCUGUCCACAGGAUUCUCCAGGCAGGAUACUGGAGUGGGUUGCCAUGCGCUCCCCGAG